AUGACACCAUCCUCCAUGUCUGUGAGUAGAAGGAACGUGUCAGCAGAAACAGAGGUAGGUGACAACACUGCUUUUUACUUAUUAUACCAACUCCAUGAGACAUUAAUAUGCCAUGAGUCAAUGGAGCCACAGGAGGGUAAAAUCUGUGUGUGUGUGUGUGUGUGUGUGUGUGUGUGUGUGUGUGUGUGUCUACUAUAUGUGCGACAUAAAAUUUCAGCAUGAUGCAUCUGAUGUGAGACUAAUUUUAAUGUGCACAGGAAGGGCAUGUGAUGUGUGAUUUUUCCUGGGAAGCGAGGAGACAACAAGUCACGCUUUCACAUACAACCUUGAAUAUGUACUCAUAUGGUUUCAUAUCUUGGUGACCCGGAGAGCAGCAUCUCUUCAUAAUAUACAUUACUUGAAACACACACAAACAUACAUGCAUAUAUACAGCACAUCUUCAGACAUCGCCAGCUAUAACAAUUCUAAAACUUCCUGGAAUUGAUUUAGAAAAUAGUGUCUUCUGGCCCCACCUUUGCUCAUGUGACUCAUUUAUCUCUUUUAACUGAGUAAUGACUAUUACUGUCAUCUAUUUGCAAUGUUCUGAAAGAUCAGGACAUUGAUUCACCUCAUAAUGAAAGCCCUAAAUUCUCUUGAAAUCCAGUUUUUCUUUCAGCUCUUAAUCUAAUGAUCUCUGAAGAAAUUGGAGGGUUUUUUUAUUCUUAAAAAAGUAUUUUACCCUUUAAUGCCUGAUCAAAAUAGAAUAGCACAUUGUUGUGAUAUCUUCUUCCAACUAAUUAACCAUUAAUUAAUUUCAUUAGUAAGCUUGCUAACAAAAAGUUAACUGAAAGCACAGUUGAUCUAUCAGUAAGCACCUCCCCUUGAAUGCAGACUAGCCAAUGGCAGUUAAGUAUCAGUUGCACAGGGAGCGCAACUUGGAUAUCUGUAGGUUUCAGUGCUAUAGAGAAACAUUAGAAGAUCCGAAGCAUAAAAAGUCAUUAUAAUCAGUAAUUAUGUCCCCCACUGGAUCCAACAAAUCCCUCGUUUAUAAUGGGUUUUAUAGUUUUUUGUCUUGCCGCACAUUUCCGUCACACGCUUGAGGGAUUCGGCCAAUGACAACACACUGGAUAGCUGGCCAAUAAGGGAACACCUAGCUUUUCGGAACGAUGAGCUUUGUAAAAAUCAUUGCAUUUAAGAAAGGCGGGGCAUAGAGGAGAAACAAUAAUGUACAGUAUGUGGAAAAUAAUGUGUUUUAACCUUAAACUGCAUAAACACAUUUCAGCCUAGAUUGGUUAGCCCAGUCAAUGCCCAGCAAAUGUGCUGCUAUGCAAACUAAAUGUAUUUUUGAAAAGUCAAGUCAGUGCUGAUUCAUGUUUUAUUAAUAAAGGUUCAUUUGUUGUAGCUUCUAGCUACUACAACACCUUAUAGCAAUAGUCAUUUUCUUUAUUUACAGAUAUGACUGAAUGACAGAAACAUGCAUUUUCCAUCUAAAUCCAUUCUGAAUGCUCUUAAAUAAACA
ensembl:lncRNA